rnacentral:rRNA from 1 species
AUAGGGUGUGAUGCCUGCCCGGUGCUGGAAGGUUAAUUGAUGGGGUUAGCGUAAGCGAAGCUCUUGAUCGAAGCCCCAGUAAACGGCGGCCGUAACUAUAACGGUCCUAAGGUAGCGAAAUUCCUUGUCGGGUAAGUUCCGACCUGCACGAAUGGCAUAAUGAUGGCGGCGCUGUCUCCAGCAGAGGCUCAGUGAAAUCGAAAUCGCUGUGAAGAUGCAGUGUACCCGCGGCUAGACGGAAAGACCCCGUGAACCUUUACUGCAGCUUGACACUGAACUUUGACCUUACUUGUGUAGGAUAGGUGGGAGGCUUUGAAGCUGGAACGCUAGUUCCAGUGGAGCCGUCCUUGAAAUACCACCCUGGUAAUGUUGAGGUUCUAACUCUGUCCCGUGAUCCGGGACGAGGACCGUGUCUGGUGGGUAGUUUGACUGGGGCGGUCUCCUCCUAAAGAGUAACGGAGGAGUACGAAGGUGCGCUCAGCGUGGUCGGAAAUCACGCGUAGAGUAUAAAGGCAAAAGCGCGCUUAACUGCGAGACCCACAAGUCGAGCAGGUACGAAAGUAGGUCUUAGUGAUCCGGUGGUUCUGUAUGGAAGGGCCAUCGCUCAACGGAUAAAAGGUACUCUGGGGAUAACAGGCUGAUACCGCCCAAGAGUUCAUAUCGACGGCGGUGUUUGGCACCUCGAUGUCGGCUCAUCUCAUCCUGGGGCUGAAGCAGGUCCCAAGGGUAUGGCUGUUCGCCAUUUAAAGAGGUACGCGAGCUGGGUUUAGAACGUCGUGAGACAGUUCGGUCCCUAUCUACCGUGGGCGCUGGAAAUUUGAGAGGAUCUGCUCCUAGUACGAGAGGACCAGAGUGGACGAACCUCUGGUGUACCGGUUGUGACGCCAGUCGCAUCGCCGGGUAGCUAUGUUCGGAAGGGAUAACCGCUGAAAGCAUCUAAGCGGGAAGCCUACCUCAAGAUAAGAUUUCCCUAGGACUUUAUGUCCUCUAAAGAGCCGUUCGAGACUAGGACGUUGAUAGGUUGGAUGUGGAAGCAUAGUGAUAUGUGAAGCUGACCAAUACUAAUUGCUCGUGAGGCUUGACUAU